rnacentral:rRNA from 1 species
AAAGUUGUUGCAGUUAAAAAGCUCGUAGUUGGAUUUCGGGACGGCACGGUCGGUCCACCGCAAGGUGUGUCACUGGCCGGGCUGUUCUUCCUCGCAAAGACUGCGUGUGCUCUUAGCUGAGUGUGCGCAGGACUUGCGACGUUUACUUUGAAAAAAUUAGAGUGUUUAAAGCAGGCCAUCGCUUGAAUACAUAAGCAUGGAAUAAUGGAAUAGGACUUUGGUUCUAUUUUGUUGGUUUCUGGAACCGAAGUAAUGAUUAAGAGGGACAGUUGGGGGCAUUCGUAUUUCGUUGUCAGAGGUGAAAUUCUUGGAUUUACGAAAGACGAACUACUGCGAAAGCAUUUGCCAAGAAUGUUUUCAUUAACGAACGAUUAACGAUUAGAGGAUCGAAGACGAUCAGAUACCGUCCUAGUUCUAACCAUAAACGAUGCCGACUAGGGAUCAGAGAGUGUUAUUGGAUGACCUCUUUGGCACCUUAUGGGAAACCAAAGUUUUUGGGUUCCG